CCAUGGCGCUCUGGGGCGCGGGCGAUUUGUAGGUAAUGGCAGGCGUUCGGUCACUGAGGUGUAGCAGAGGAUGCGCUGGCGGCUGUGAGUGCGGCGACAAGGGCAAAUGCAGCGACUCCUCGCUGUUGGGCAAGAGACUCUCCGAAGACUCGAGCCGCCACCAGCUGUUGCAGAAGUGGGCGAGCAUGUGGAGCUCCAUGAGCGAAGACGCGUCGGUGGCCGACAUGGAGAGGGCGCAGCUGGAGGAGGAGGCGGCGGCUGCGGAGGAGAGGCCGCUGGUGUUCCUGUGCUCCGGCUGCCGGCGGCCGCUGGGCGACUCGCUGAGCUGGGUGGCCAGCCAGGAGGACACCAACUGCAUCCUGCUUCGCUGUGUUUCCUGUAAUGUUUCUGUGGAUAAGGAACAGAAGCUAUCCAAACGUGAAAAGGAAAAUGGUUGCGUCCUUGAGACUUUGUGCUGCGCGGGGUGCUCACUCAAUCUUGGCUACGUGUACAGAUGCACGCCCAAGAAUCUUGAUUACAAGAGAGACUUGUUUUGCCUCAGUGUUGAAGCCAUUGAAAGGGAGAUGAUGCCUGGAGCUGUGAAACAAAUCCUGAGCCACGGGAUGAGUGUAGACUUGAGACUCCAGAGUUUGGGAUCCUGGUCCAGAUCAUGCCACUGCUUACCAAGUAGGUAAGAGAUGUCAUCGUUUGGGUCAGUUUCUCAUGGAUGAAAUGGGGUGGGUAGGUAGAGGCAAGUGGGCCCAAUGAUCCCAUGAUUCAGUGAUUCUAAAUCUUGCCUUGGUUAAGGACAGAGCGCCAAAGUGAAGGGUAAAUAAUUGGUGUUGACGAGAGUUGCUGGGAAAGCCUUCAUGCUUGCUCAAAAUGGAGUGUUUCCCAUAAUCUGCGUUUGGGUUGGAGCCAGUCAUCAUCUAUGACUGACUGAAUUUUUUUUGGUCAGAAGCAACUCGUCUCUUUUUCUUCUGACAAUAAAAUAAAAUAAAGUUCCGCCCUUCAGAGCCAAAGCAGCACAUAUUUUGGAGAGAAGUCUCAGAGAAAAGCCGUUUCUGUUCAUUUCCCUCCAUCAUCAGCUUGUCUGCCCCAGCUCCCGCUCUGGCAGACACUGCUGGGGGCUUGGCAGAGCUGGGAUUGCUGCUCUUGAGAUUCUGAAGGCCAGUGACUGAAAGAGAAGGCGCUGGAAAGGGUCUGUCAGGACUCCAGUGACAAAGUGAAGGAUUUAGGACAAGAGUCGGAUAAGAUAAAGAGAAGGAAGAUGCCCUCAACUCUGAGUUCUGGAAUGAAAAUUUCUCAGGGAGUUCCCACAAGGACACUGUGUCCUCAGUUUCCUGGGUGCUUGGAUGAAUCUUGGGGCUUUUCCUUUACACAUGGAACCUCUUCUUGAGAUUUGAGGGGCUCCAUAAAUCAUACCCUCUCCCCCCUGCCAGACUCCUAAACCAAGACAAAAGGAGAGGAGAAUGUGCCUCGGAGGCACAGUAGUGGGUUUCCUAACAGAAACCAGAGACUCAGAGGCCAGGGAAGAAGGGGCGUACCGAAGGGCGUGUGCAGUCCCAGGUCUACACCUGGCUGGUUCUGAAAGACAAGCAGGAGCAGCAGCUGAGCUCUGCUGGCCCAGCUUCUCUUUCCAGCAAAUGAGGGGUGGUGGUAGAGUUUGUACACAUGUCUCUGCCCAAAUCUCUUGUUGAAAUGUAAUCCCUAGUGUUGGAGGUAGAGCCUGGCGGGAGGUGAUUUGAUGAUGGGGCGGAUUUCUCAUGAAUAGUUUGGCACCAUCCCCUCGAUACUGUCCUCACCAGAGCGAGUCCGUUUGUGAGAUCUGCUUGUUUAAAAGGGUGUAGCACCUACCCCUCCAUCUCUUGCUCCUGCUCUGGGCCUGUGCCUGCUUCCCCUUUGCCUUCUAACAUGAUUCUGAGCUUCCUGAGGCCACUCCAGAAGCCGAGCAGAUGCCAGCAUCACGUUUCCUGUACAGCCUGCAGAACCGUGAGCCAAUUAAACCUCUUUUCUUUACAAAUUACCCAGUCUCAGGUAUUUCUUUAUAACAAUGCAAGAAUGGCCUAACACAGGUGUCCAGGGGCAGAGGGAGGCUGAGUGUCAGGUGAAUGGAUGUCCUGACUCAUAGAAGGAAAGAUCAGGAAUAGGAAGAAAAGCUUUCCCACAAAACUGCCACUUACCCCAGAACAACUCACCCAGCAUAGUCAGGUGUUAGGUCUUUACUGAAGGUUUGGAAGGACAGAGGGUGGGCUCACACUGCUUGACACUGAUGGCUUAACCUUGAGUAUUAGCCAUUGGCCUCCUUGUCUUGGAAGUCCUUUGGCCCUGCCACCAAGAACUGUUCCCUGGCUGCCUCCUUCCCAGCUGCAGCUUCCUCUGGUGUUGCUAGAGCCUUCCCUCCUGGAAGGUGCUUCUCCUGAAUUCCUCUUAUAAUGCAGAGAAUUUUGACUCUUCGUCCCUCUGUUGGACAUCUAAGUAACAUUAAAGGGCUCAGCUUCACACACGAUCACAUAUCUAUUUCGGCAUCUUGGAAGAGCGAGCAGGGAUGUUGACAUUUCAGGGUUUCCAUUCUCUCUGCUUUAUCUGUGUAGGCGGAAGGGAACACUUCAGGUAUUUAUCUUCCCAGUGCGAUGACUGAUGCCCGCUAGAAGGCAGAAGUGACACCAUCAGUUUGGGUGUUCAGGAGCAUUCUUUUAAUUUAUUGUAGGGUCCUGCCUACCAUAAUCCAGGAGGUGGUCUUCCAGACAUUAAAUAGGAUCAUGAAAUCAAUGGCGUGAGCCUUCACAAUACCAUAAAACUGAAGACAUGUAAAUCUGCUCAUGUAAAUCCUCCACUGCAUAGCCUUUUGUGUGGAGCAUUUAUCCGGACUGAUGGCAAAAACUGUGAGUACUUUUCAAUAACAACAACUGAGGUAUUUUGAUGGGGCAUUUACUGGCUUGCUAUGGAAUAUUAACUAAAGCUACCUCUAUAUUAAUGGAAAUAAUGUUUCCCAAAAAGUUCCAUAAUAAAAUAAAAAUGGUUUACAUAAAAUCUUGCUACCUAAUAAGCAGAGAGGCUCUUUUCUAGAACUAAUUGUAAGGAGCUGCUAAAUUCCACAAUGCCUAAUAGCUCUCCUGAGCUGUUUGAUUUGUAAAUGACAUUUCCAAGGUAAGCAAACAUCUCGUUUUCAAAGCUGCUGCUCUGGUUAAAAAAGGGUCAAGGAAAUCUUUUUCUUUUAAAUUAUUUGGGUAAAGUAUGUUUUUGUAAGCAAAUUUCCCUUUCUGAAUCCUCCAAAAUUCAGAUUGUAAUUUUAUGGCAAUAUAGUUGUCUGCAUAAGUUCAAUAAUAGUUUUUUUUUUCCUAACAAUUGGUGACACUGGUUAUUUUACCAAGACUGAAACUAGUAUAGCCUAUUUUUAGGUAAAGUUUCAGCAAAAUCAACUUUAAAAGAAGUCUAUAUGGCCAGUCGAUUUCUUGCUGCAUUUUAUGCAAAUCAUCAGGCAAGCAUAAUAAGCCUAAAACUAGCAUUGCACACAAAUUGGCCUGGCUAUAAAAUUCUCUUUAAUAAAAAAGGCAGCAAAAAAAUUGUUUGAAGGGCAAAGUGUAACACUUAAUACUACAUUUCAACCCUAACUUUUUACAUACAGAUGAAAUCAUUAUUUCUUGGCUACAAUAAUCCUCUAAAAAGUACCUGAUUAUAAUUUUUCUUCAUGUUUUCAGUUGGUGCCCUAAUGGAACAGGUUCCUUUUUCUGUUCUAACAUACAAAUUACUGUUAUAACUGUCAAACUAUAACUGUUAUUUAUCUCUUUUUGUUUUACUUCCAAGCAAACCAAAAUCAUGGUAUUCUGAAGACCAGAGAUAGGAAUCUCCCUCAUUUGACAUCCACUGGGUCUGGAUCUGUUUCACUGCUAAUGCUUUGCUGCCAGAGCUAUACAAGCUGCCUCCCUCUAGGUCCAGGGACUAUCGCAGAAGAGGUGGGCAUGUACAAUUUGUAAGGGCCAGUUUCGAGGGAUAAAAUUAGGACAAGAUCAAACCCUCCAAAUCAAAAAGGAGGUCCAAAAAAAAAAUGCCUAAACAGCUGGUAAAACAAGUUUGCUUGUCUUCUAAACUAUUAUUUGUCACUUUUGCAUCCAUCCCAACCAUAAAAUUUUGCUGUAAAAUUAAAGAAAAACAUUUACUAACAGGAUAAAAUACCUUACCACAAAGCUUCCUGGGUAUAAUACUCCCAAUGAUAAGUGGUAAAAAUAAACCUAUCUAUCCAUAUAUAUUUUUAAUUUUUCAGAGCAGUGCUUAUGUUUUGUAUAGCUAAUUGCUGUAAGUCUGUAACAAAAACCAAACUCACAGCAGCUCAACACAUAGAAGUUAAAAAUAAGUCAGUCUUGCAACUUUGCCUUUUGGUUUUUCUGCUGGCCUUUUUACUUAAACUAAUAAUUUUUAAAAGUAACAAAUGGCUGUCCACAACCCUUCCUAUCUGGCCUAGAACAAUUAAUUGGCUAUAAGUCUUUUAACUCUUAUGGUCCUCAGCCAUAGAUAGUCCUGCCAAGGAAAAAAAUAACACUGUAGAAUUAUAUAACUUCUCCUGCGACAAAACCUUUUCCCUCCAAAUACCAGUAUAUGGUGCAACACAAA